UUGGUCUCUUUGAACAUGUCAAAUUCACGUAUAACCAGUGCAGGGUUGAAGCAUUUGAAGCCACUGAAAAAUUUAAAAUCACUGACCUUGGAGUCAUGCAAAGUGACAGCUAAUGACAUUAAGAAGCUUCAGUCAACUGACCUCCCUCAACUGGUGAGCUUCCGGCCUGAGUAAUUGAGGAGGUAAUGUGGGACAUUCUGUAAAUAGCUAGUGUGGCAUGAAGGAGCUCUGAUGUUUUAAAUAAAAAUAUUAGGGGGCAAAAGGCAAAUGAACCAAUAAAGAAGUGUACAUAUGAUAUGGGUAGACCUAAAUGUUGGUCUUGGGAUGCUUGAAAAAGGAACUUUCACCUUAUUUGAAGCUUUCUUUCAUAUCGUUUAGUAUGAAAGAAACUGUAGAUAAGCUUCCUUGGCAAGUCUUUUGAGCAAUGGCAAUUUAGGAUUAAAAAAAAAAAAAAAAAAAGGGCCCUUUUUUAUUUUUUGGGUGAAGGUUUUUUUUUUUUUUUUUUUUAAACCGUGUUGCUAUGUAAAUAACUAUAUAUUCAGCUUAUCUGAACAGCCUCUUAAACCAAUUCCAUUUAAGUUUUUUUUUU
rnacentral:misc_RNA from 1 species